AAGACAACAUUCCAUUACGAAUUCUAGUUCUGCUGAUGGACGAGGUGUUCGACCUCAAAAGCAAGAAUCAGUGGUUGAGACGGCGAAUUGUUGUUUUAUUGCGACAGAUCAUCAAAGCAACAUUUGGAGACACUAUUAACAGGAAAAUUCUUGACUAUGUGGAGUGGAUUACAUCUUCUGAACAAGUAGCCAACUAUGUUAAAACAUUCAA